rnacentral:rRNA from 1 species
AGUGAACGCUGGCGGUAGGCCUAACACAUGCAAGUCGAACGGCAGCACAGGAGAGCUUGCUCUCUGGGUGGCGAGUGGCGGACGGGUGAGGAAUACAUCGGAAUCUACUCUGUCGUGGGGGAUAACGUAGGGAAACUUACGCUAAUACCGCAUACGACCUACGGGUGAAAGCAGGGGACCGUCGGGCCUUGCGCGAUUGAAUGAGCCGAUGUCGGAUUAGCUAGUUGGCGGGGUAAAGGCCCACCACGGCGACGAUCCGUAGCUGGUCUGAGAGGAUGAUCAGCCACACUGGAACUGAGACACGGUCCAGACUCCUACGGGAGGCAGCAGUGGGGAAUAUUGGACAAUGGGCGCAAGCCUGAUCCAGCCAUACCGCGUGGGUGAAGAAGGCCUUCGGGUUGUAAAGCCCUUUUGUUGGGAAAGAAAUCCAGCUGGCUAAUACCCGGUUGGGAUGACGGUACCCAAAGAAUAAGCACCGGCUAACUUCGUGCCAGCCGCCGCGGUAA